AUUGAACGCUGGCGGCAGGCUUAACACAUGCAAGUCGAGCGGGGGAGGUUGCUUCGGUAACUGACCUAGCGGCGGACGGGUGAGUAAUGCUUAGGAAUCUGCCUAUUAGUGGGGGACAACAUUCCGAAAGGGAUGCUAAUACCGCAUACGCCCUACGGGGGAAAGCAGGGGAUCUUCGGACCUUGCGCUAAUAGAUGAGCCUAAGUCGGAUUAGCUAGUUGGUAGGGUAAAGGCCUACCAAGGCGACGAUCUGUAGCGGGUCUGAGAGGAUGAUCCGCCACACUGGGACUGAGACACGGCCCAGACUCCUCCGGGAGGCAGCAGUGGGGAAUAUUGGACAAUGGGCGGAAGCCUGAUCCAGCCAUGCCGCGUGUGUGAAGAAGGCCUUUUGGUUGUAAAGCACUUUAAGCGAGGAGGAGGCUCUUAAGGUUAAUACCCUUGAUGAGUGGACGUUACUCGCAGAAUAAGCACCGGCUAACUCUGUGCCAGCAGCCGCCGUAACAC
rnacentral:rRNA from 1 species